UACGGAGGGGCUAGCGUUGUUCGGAAUUACUGGGCGUAAAGCGCACGUAGGCGGCUCUUUAAGUCGGGGGUGAAAUCCUGGAGCUCAACUCCAGAACUGCCUUCGAUACUGUAGAGCUUGAGUUCGGGAGAGGUGAGUGGAACUGCGAGUGUAGAGGUGAAAUUCGUAGAUAUUCGCAAGAACACCAGUGGCGAAGGCGGCUCACUGGCCCGAUACUGACCGUGAGGUGCGAAAGCGUGGGGAGCAAAACAGG
rnacentral:rRNA from 1 species